rnacentral:rRNA from 1 species
CCUACGGGUGGCAGCAGUAGGGAAUUUUGCGCAAUGGGCGAAAGCCUGACGCAGCAACGCCGCGUGAUCGAGACGCCCUUCGGGGUGUCAAGAUCUGUCAGUGGGGACGAAACUUGACGGUACCCACAGAGGAAGCACAGGCUAACUCCGUGCCAGCAGCCGCGGUAAUCCGGGGGGUGCAGGCGUGUUCCGGCAUCAUUGGGCGUAAAAGGUUCGUAGGCGGCACGUAAAGUCUGGUGGUAAAGGCAGAGGCUCAACUUCUGUACGGCACUGGAUACUUGCGAGCUAGAAGGCGGUAGAGGUAAAGGGAAUGCCUGGGGUAGCGGUGAAAUGCUUAGAUAUCAGGAGGAACAUCGGUGGCGUAAGCGCUUUACUGGGCCGUAAUUGACGCUGAGGAACGAAAGCCAGGGUAGCAAAUGGGAUUAGAUACCCGUGUAGUC